rnacentral:rRNA from 1 species
CCAGCAGCCGCGGUAAUUCCAGCUCCAAUAGCGUAUAUUAAAGUUGUUGCAGUUAAAAAGCUCGUAGUUGGAUUUCUGGCAGGAGCGGCCGGUCACACACUCUGUGUGUGAACUUGUGCUGUCUCUGGCCAUCCUUGGGGAGAUCCUGUUUGGCAUUAAGUUGUCGGGCAGGGGAUACCCAUCGUUUACUGUGAAAAAAUUAGAGUGUUUAAAGCAGGCUUAUGCCGUUGAAUAUAUUAGCAUGGAAUAAUAAGAUAGGACUUCGGAACUAUUUUGUUGGUUUGCGUUACGAAGUAAUGAUUAAUAGGGACAGUUGGGGGUAUUCGUAUUUCGUUGUCAGAGGUGAAAUUCUUGGAUUUCCGAAAGACGAACUACUGCGAAAGCAUUUACCAAGGAUGUUUUCAUUAAUCAAGAACGAAAGU